AGAGUUUGAUCAUGGCUCAGAUUGAACGCUGGCGGUAGGCUUAACACAUGCAAGUCGUGCGAGAAAGUAUCUUCGGAUAUGAGUAGAGCGGCGGACGGGUGAGUAACGCGUAGGAAUCUACCUAGUAGAAGGGGAUAGCCCGGGGAAACUCGGAUUAAUACCGUAUACCUCCUUAGGGAGAAAGAGGGCCUCUCUUUGAUGCUCUCGCUACUAGAUGAGCCUGCGUAAGAUUAGCUUGUUGGUGAGGUAAUGGCUCACCAAGGCGACGAUCUUUAGCUGGUCUGAGAGGACGAUCAGCCACAUUGGGACUGAGACACGGCCCAGACUCCUACGGGAGGCAGCAGUGGGGAAUAUUGGACAAUGGGCGCAAGCCUGAUCCAGCCAUACCGCGUGUGUGAAGAAGGCCUUCGGGUUGUAAAGCACUUUAAGCAGGGAGAAAAAGUUAUAAGUUAAUACCUUAUAACCGUGAUGUUACCUGCAGAAUAAGCACCGGCUAAUUCCGUGCCAGCAGCCGCGGUAAUACGGAAGGUGCAAGCGUUAAUCGGAAUUACUGGGCGUAAAGCGCGCGUAGGUGGUUUGUUAAGUUGGAUGUGAAAGCCCUGGGCUCAACCUAGGAACUGCAUCCAAAACUAACUCACUAGAGUACGAUAGAGGGAGGUAGAAUUCAUAGUGUAGCGGUGGAAUGCGUAGAUAUUAUGAAGAAUACCAGUGGCGAAGGCGGCCUCCUGGAUCUGUACUGACACUGAGGUGCGAAAGCGUGGGUAGCGAACAGGAUUAGAUACCCUGGUAGUCCACGCC
rnacentral:rRNA from 1 species